GAAGAACCUUACCAAGGCUUGACAUACACCGGAAAGCAUUAGAGAUAGUGCCCCCCUUGUGGUCGGUGUACAGGUGGUGCAUGGCUGUCGUCAGCUCGUGUCGUGAGAUGUUGGGUUAAGUCCCGCAACGAGCGCAACCCUUGUCCCGUGUUGCCAGCAGGCCCUUGUGGUGCUGGGGACUCACGGGAGACCGCCGGGGUCAACUCGGAGGAAGGUGGGGACGACGUCAAGUCAUCAUGCCCCUUAUGUCUUGGGCUGCACACGUGCUACAAUGGCCGGUACAAUGAGCUGCGAUACCGUGAGGUGGAGCGAAUCUCAAAAAGCCGGUCUCAGU
rnacentral:rRNA from 1 species